UGCUUUCUUUGGCAGCACCUAUACUAAAUUGGAACCACAAGGAGAAGAUUAGCAUAAGCCUGAUAAAAGGAUGACAUGCAAAGUUGUGUAAUACCUGUGUUUUCA
ensembl:snRNA U6 U6 spliceosomal RNA